rnacentral:ribozyme from 1 species
ACGAUUUUUCGAACCGGGGAAACCGAUUUUUAUCAAGGGAUAAUAAAGACUCUGUAAACUCUUCUUCUACUCAAUACGUCCCCGACGUACAGAACUGUAACAUAUCACUCCAAUACGGGUAUACGGUGAAAGGCAAGCCCUCGGAAGGAAGGGUAAUAUAUAUAUAUAUAGUUUU